UUCCUUAUUAAUGUUAGUCCUGUUGAAACAAAUAAUGUAUUUUUCUGUAAUUGGCUCCUCUCCCGUAUGGAUCUUCAGCCAAUGUAGUGGACUAUUGAAGGCUAUUGGCGGCAGAACCUGUUCGUUGCUCUUGAAAUAUUCCUUAUUAAUAUUAGUCCUGUUGAAAUAAUGUAUUUUCCUGUAAUUGGCUCCUCCCUCCAGAAUGGCUCUUGAUGUGAUUGACCAGUGUGUUGUAUCCUGGGAGAAGAAUCGUCGACAUGUGAUUUUCCUUAUUAAUCCAAUGUAGUCGACUAUUGAAGGCUAUUGGCGGCAGAACCUGUUCGUUGCUCUUGAAAUAUUCCUUAUUAAUAUUAGGCAUGUUGAAAUAUGGUAUUUUCCUGUAAUUGGCUUCUCCCUCCCGUAUGGAUCUUCAGCCAAUGUAGUAGUCUGUUGAAGGCUGUUGGCGACAGAACCUGUUCGUUGCUGUUAAAAUAUUCCUUUUUAAUGUUGGUCCUGUGGAAAUUUAUAUGGCUUUUCUCCCGUACGCGUCUUGAUCUGAUCAGUGUCCACUCAAUGCCCUCGCGGCAUGGUAGUGGACUAUUAAAGGCUAUUGGCAGCAGAACCUGUUCGUUGCUGUUAAAAUAUUGCUUUUUAAUGUUGGUCCUGUGGAAAUUUAUAUGGCUUUUCUCCCGUACGCGUCUUGAUCAGAUGUCGAUCCCUGAGUCUAUCCAAUGUAGUUGACUGUUGAAGGCUAUUGGCGGCAGAACCUGUUCGUUGCUCUCAAAAUAUUCCUUUUUAAUGUUGGUCCUGUGGAAAUUUAUAUGGCUUUUCUCCCGUACGCGUCUUGAUCUGAUCAGUGUCCACUCAAUGCCCUCGCGGCAUGGUAGUGGACUAUUAAAGGCUAUUGGCAGCAGAACCUGUUCGUUGCUGUUAAAAUAUUGCUUUUUAAUGUUGGUCCUGUGGAAAUUUAUAUGGCUUUUCUCCCGUACGCGUCUUGAUCAGAUGUCGAUCCCUGAGUCUAUCCAAUGUAGUUGACUGUUGAAGGCUAUUGGCGGCAGAACCUGUUCGUUGCUCUCGAAAUAUUCCUUAUUAAUAUUAGGCAUGUUGAAAUAUGGUAUUUUCCUGUAAUUGGCUCCUCCCGCCCGUAUGGAUCUUCAGCCAAUGUAGUAGUCUGUUGAAGGCUGUUGGCGACAGAACCUGUUCGUUGCUGUUAAAAUAUUCCUUUUUAAUGUUGGUCCUGUGGAAAUUUAUAUGGCUUUUCUCCCGUACGCGUCUUGAUCAGAUAUCGAUCCCAAAGUCUAGCCAAUGUAGUUGACUGUUGAAGGCUAUUGGCGGCAGAACCUGUUCGUUGCUCUUGAAAUAUUCCUUAUUAAUAUUAGGCAUGUUAAAAUAUGGUAUUUUCCUGUAAUUGGCUCCUCCCUCCCGUAUGGAUCUUCAGCCAAUGUAGUAGACUAUUAAAGGCCAUUGGCGACAGAACCUGUUCGUUGCUGUUAAAAUAUUCCUUUUUAAUGUUGGUCCUGUGGAAAUUUAUAUGGCUUUUCUCCCGUACGCGUCUUGAUCUGAUCAGUGUCCACUCAAUGCCCUCGCGGCAUGGUAGUGGACUAUUAAAGGCUAUUGGCAGCAGAACCUGUUCGUUGCUGUUAAAAUAUUCCUUUUUAAUGUUGGUCCUGUGGAAAUUUAUAUGGCUUUUCUCCCGCACGCGUCUUGAUCAAAUGUCGAUCCCAGAGUCUAGCCAAUGUAGUUGAAUGUUGAAGGCUAUUGGCGGCAGAACCUGUUCGUUGCUCUCGAAAUAUUCCUUAUUAAUGUUAGUCCUGUUGAAACAAAUAAUGUAUUUUUCUGUAAUUGGCUCCUCUCCCGUAUGGAUCUUCAGCCAAUGUAGUGGACUAUUGAAGGCUAUUGGCGGCAGAAACUGUUCGUUGCUCUUGAAAUAUUCCUUAUUAAUAUUAGUCCUGUUGAAAUAAUGUAUUUUCCUGUAAUUGGCUCCUCCCUCCAGAAUGGCUCUUGAUGUGAUUGACCAGUGUGUUGUAUCCUGGGAGAAGAAUCGUCGACAUGUGAUUUUCCUUAUUAAUGUUAGUCCUGUUGAAACAAAUAAUGUAUUUUCCUGUAAUUGGCUCCUCUCCCGUAUGGAUCUUCAGCCAAUGUAGUGGACUGUUGGAGGCUAUUGGCGGCAGAACCUGUUCGUUGCUCUCAAAAUAUUCCUUUUUAAUGUUGGUCCUGUGGAAAUUUAUAUGGCUUUUCUCCCGCACGCGUCUUGAUCAAAUGUCGAUCCCAGAGUCUAGCCAAUGUAGUUGAAUGUUGAAGGCUAUUGGCGGCAGAACCUGUUCGUUGCUCUCGAAAUAUUCCUUAUUAAUGUUAGUCCUGUUGAAACAAAUAAUGUAUUUUUCUGUAAUUGGCUCCUCUCCCGUAUGGAUCUUCAGCCAAUGUAGUGGACUAUUGAAGGCUAUUGGCGGCAGAACCUGUUCGUUGCUCUUGAAAUAUUCCUUAUUAGUGUUAGGCAUGUUGAAAUAUGGUAUUUUUCUGUAAUUGGCUCCUCUCCCGUAUGGAUCUUCAGCCAAUGUAGUAGUCUGUUGAAGGCUGUUGGCGACAGAACCUGUUCGUUGCUGUUAAAAUAUUCCUUUUUAAUGUUGGUCCUGUGGAAAUUUAUAUGGCUUUUCUCCCGUACGCGUCUUGAUCUGAUCAGUGUCCACUCAAUGCCCUCGCGGCAUGGUAGUGGACUAUUAAAGGCUAUUGGCAGCAGAACCUGUUCGUUGCUGUUAAAAUAUUGCUUUUUAAUGUUGGUCCUGUGGAAAUUUAUAUGGCUUUUCUCCCGUACGCGUCUUGAUCAGAUGUCGAUCCCUGAGUCUAUCCAAUGUAGUUGACUGUUGAAGGCUAUUGGCGGCAGAACCUGUUCGUUGCUCUCGAAAUAUUCCUUAUUAAUAUUAGGCAUGUUGAAAUAUGGUAUUUUCCUGUAAUUGGCUCCUCCCGCCCGUAUGGAUCUUCAGCCAAUGUAGUAGUCUGUUGAAGGCUGUUGGCGACAGAACCUGUUCGUUGCUGUUGAAAUAUUCCUUAUUAAUAUUAGGCAUGUUGAAAUAUGGUAUUUUCCUGUAAUUGGCUCCUCCCUCCCGUAUGGAUCUUCAGCCAAUGUAGUAGUCUGUUGAAGGCUGUUGGCGACAGAACCUGUUCGUUGCUGUUAAAAUAUUCCUUUUUAAUGUUGGUCCUGUGGAAAUUUAUAUGGCUUUUCUCCCGUACGCGUCUUGAUCUGAUCAGUGUCCACUCAAUGCCCUCGCGGCAUGGUAGUGGACUAUUAAAGGCUAUUGGCAGCAGAACCUGUUCGUUGCUCUUGAAAUAUUCCUUAUUAAUAUUAGUCCUGUUGAAAUAAUGUAUUUUCCUGUAAUUGGCUCCUCCCUCCAGAAUGGCUCUUGAUGUGAUUGACCAGUGUGUUGUAUCCUGGGAGAAGAAUCGUCGACAUGUGAUUUUCCUUAUUAAUGUUAGUCCUGUUGAAACAAAUAAUGUAUUUUCCUGUAAUUGGCUCCUCUCCCGUAUGGAUCUUCAGCCAAUGUAGUGGACUGUUGGAGGCUAUUGGCGGCAGAACCUGUUCGUUGCUCUCAAAAUAUUCCUUUUUAAUGUUGGUCCUGUGGAAAUUUAUAUGGCUUUUCUCCCGUACGCGUCUUGAUCAGAUAUCGAUCCCAAAGUCUAGCCAAUGUAGUUGACUGUUGAAGGCUAUUGGCGGCAGAACCUGUUCGUUGCUCUUGAAAUAUUCCUUAUUAAUAUUAGGCAUGUUAAAAUAUGGUAUUUUCCUGUAAUUGGCUCCUCCCUCCCGUAUGGAUCUUCAGCCAAUGUAGUAGACUAUUAAAGGCCAUUGGCGACAGAACCUGUUCGUUGCUGUUAAAAUAUUCCUUUUUAAUGUUGGUCCUGUGGAAAUUUAUAUGGCUUUUCUCCCGUACGCGUCUUGAUCUGAUCAGUGUCCACUCAAUGCCCUCGCGGCAUGGUAGUGGACUAUUAAAGGCUAUUGGCAGCAGAACCUGUUCGUUGCUGUUAAAAUAUUCCUUUUUAAUGUUGGUCCUGUGGAAAUUUAUAUGGCUUUUCUCCCGCACGCGUCUUGAUCAAAUGUCGAUCCCAGAGUCUAGCCAAUGUAGUUGAAUGUUGAAGGCUAUUGGCGGCAGAACCUGUUCGUUGCUCUCGAAAUAUUCCUUAUUAAUGUUAGUCGUGUUGAAACAAAUAAUGUAUUUUUCUGUAAUUGGCUCCUCUCCCGUAUGGAUCUUCAGCCAAUGUAGUGGACUAUUGAAGGCUAUUGGCGGCAGAAACUGUUCGUUGCUCUUGAAAUAUUCCUUAUUAAUAUUAGUCCUGUUGAAAUAAUGUAUUUUCCUGUAAUUGGCUCCUCCCUCCAGAAUGGCUCUUGAUGUGAUUGACCAGUGUGUUGUAUCCUGGGAGAAGAAUCGUCGACAUGUGAUUUUCCUUAUUAAUGUUAGUCCUGUUGAAACAAAUAAUGUAUUUUCCUGUAAUUGGCUCCUCUCCCGUAUGGAUCUUCAGCCAAUGUAGUGGACUGUUGGAGGCUAUUGGCGGCAGAACCUGUUCGUUGCUCUCAAAAUAUUCCUUUUUAAUGUUGGUCCUGUGGAAAUUUAUAUGGCUUUUCUCCCGCACGCGUCUUGAUCAAAUGUCGAUCCCAGAGUCUAGCCAAUGUAGUUGAAUGUUGAAGGCUAUUGGCGGCAGAACCUGUUCGUUGCUCUCGAAAUAUUCCUUAUUAAUGUUAGUCCUGUUGAAACAAAUAAUGUAUUUUUCUGUAAUUGGCUCCUCUCCCGUAUGGAUCUUCAGCCAAUGUAGUGGACUAUUGAAGGCUAUUGGCGGCAGAACCUGUUCGUUGCUCUUGAAAUAUUCCUUAUUAGUGUUAGGCAUGUUGAAAUAUGGUAUUUUUCUGUAAUUGGCUCCUCUCCCGUAUGGAUCUUCAGCCAAUGUAGUAGUCUGUUGAAGGCUGUUGGCGACAGAACCUGUUCGUUGCUGUUAAAAUAUUGCUUUUUAAUGUUGGUCCUGUGGAAAUUUAUAUGGCUUUUCUCCCGUACGCGUCUUGAUCAGAUGUCGAUCCCUGAGUCUAUCCAAUGUAGUUGACUGUUGAAGGCUAUUGGCGGCAGAACCUGUUCGUUGCUCUCGAAAUAUUCCUUAUUAAUAUUAGGCAUGUUGAAAUAUGGUAUUUUCCUGUAAUUGGCUCCUCCCGCCCGUAUGGAUCUUCAGCCAAUGUAGUAGUCUGUUGAAGGCUGUUGGCGACAGAACCUGUUCGUUGCUGUUGAAAUAUUCCUUAUUAAUAUUAGGCAUGUUGAAAUAUGGUAUUUUCCUGUAAUUGGCUCCUCCCUCCCGUAUGGAUCUUCAGCCAAUGUAGUAGUCUGUUGAAGGCUGUUGGCGACAGAACCUGUUCGUUGCUGUUAAAAUAUUCCUUUUUAAUGUUGGUCCUGUGGAAAUUUAUAUGGCUUUUCUCCCGUACGCGUCUUGAUCUGAUCAGUGUCCACUCAAUGCCCUCGCGGCAUGGUAGUGGACUAUUAAAGGCUAUUGGCAGCAGAACCUGUUCGUUGCUCUUAAUGGCUCUUGAUGUGAUUGACCAGUGUGUUGUAUCCUGGGAGAAGAAUCGUCGACAUGUGAUUUUCCUUAUUAAUGUUAGUCCUGUUGAAACAAAUAAUGUAUUUUCCUGUAAUUGGCUCCUCUCCCGUAUGGAUCUUCAGCCAAUGUAGUGGACUGUUGGAGGCUAUUGGCGGCAGAACCUGUUCGUUGCUCUCAAAAUAUUCCUUUUUAAUGUUGGUCCUGUGGAAAUUUAUAUGGCUUUUCUCCCGCACGCGUCUUGAUCAAAUGUCGAUCCCAGAGUCUAGCCAAUGUAGUUGAAUGUUGAAGGCUAUUGGCGGCAGAACCUGUUCGUUGCUCUCGAAAUAUUCCUUAUUAAUAUUAGGCAUGUUGAAAUAUGGUAUUUUCCUGUAAUUGGCUCCUCCCGCCCGUAUGGAUCUUCAGCCAAUGUAGUAGUCUGUUGAAGGCUGUUGGCGACAGAACCUGUUCGUUGCUGUUGAAAUAUUCCUUAUUAAUGUUAGUCCUGUUGAAACAAAUAAUGUAUUUUUCUGUAAUUGGCUCCUCUCCCGUAUGGAUCUUCAGCCAAUGUAGUGGACUAUUGAAGGCUAUUGGCGGCAGAACCUGUUCGUUGCUCUUGAAAUAUUCCUUAUUAGUGUUAGGCAUGUUGAAAUAUGGUAUUUUCCUGUAAUUGGCUCCUCCCUCCCGUAUGGAUCUUCAGCCAAUGUAGUAGUCUGUUGAAGGCUGUUGGCGACAGAACCUGUUCGUUGCUGUUGAAAUAUUCCUUAUUAAUAUUAGGCAUGUUAAACUAUGGUAUUUUUCUGUAAUUGGCUCCUCUCCCGUAUGGAUCUUCAGCCAAUGUAGUAGUCUGUUGAAGGCUGUUGGCGACAGAACCUAUUCGUUGCUGUUAAAAUAUUCCUUUUUAAUGUUGGUCCUGUGGAAAUUUAUAUGGCUUUUCUCCCGUACGCGUCUUGAUCUGAUCAGUGUCCACUCAAUGCCCUCGCGGCAUGGUAGUGGACUAUUAAAGGCUAUUGGCAGCAGAACCUGUUCGUUGCUGUUAAAAUAUUCCUUUUUAAUGUUGGUCCUGUGGAAAUUUAUAUGGCUUUUCUCCCGUACGCGUCUUGAUCAGAUGUCGAUCCCUGAGUCUAUCCAAUGUAGUUGACUGUUGAAGGCUAUUGGCGGCAGAACCUGUUCGUUGCUCUCGAAAUAUUCCUUAUUAAUAUUAGGCAUGUUGAAAUAUGGUAUUUUCCUGUAAUUGGCUCCUCCCGCCCGUAUGGAUCUUCAGCCAAUGUAGUAGUCUGUUGAAGGCUGUUGGCGACAGAACCUGUUCGUUGCUGUUGAAAUAUUCCUUAUUAAUAUUAGGCAUGUUGAAAUAUGGUAUUUUCCUGUAAUUGGCUCCUCCCUCCCGUAUGGAUAUUCAGCCAAUGUAGUAGUCUGUUGAAGGCUGUUGGCGACAGAACCUGUUCGUUGCUGUUAAAAUAUUCCUUUUUAAUGUUGGUCCUGUGGAAAUUUAUAUGGCUUUUCUCCCGUACGCGUCUUGAUCUGAUCAGUGUCCACUCAAUGCCCUCGCGGCAUGGUAGUGGACUAUUAAAGGCUAUUGGCAGCAGAACCUGUUCGUUGCUGUUAAAAUAUUGCUUUUUAAUGUUGGUCCUGUGGAAAUUUAUAUGGCUUUUCUCCCGUACGCGUCUUGAUCAGAUGUCGAUCCCUGAGUCUAUCCAAUGUAGUUGACUGUUGAAGGCUAUUGGAUGCAGAACCUGUUCGUUGCUCUCGAAAUAUUCCUUAUUAAUAUUAGGCAUGUUGAAAUAUGGUAUUUUCCUGUAAUUGGCUCCUCCCGCCCGUAUGGAUCUUCAGCCAAUGUAGUAGUCUGUUGAAGGCCAUUGGCGACAGAACCUGUUCGUUGCUCUCAAAAUAUUCCUUUUUAAUGUUGGUCCUGUGGAAAUUUAUAUGGCUUUUCUCCCGUACGCGUCUUGAUCUGAUCAGUGUCCACUCAAUGCCCUCGCGGCAUGGUAGUGAACUAUUAAAGGCUAUUGGCAGCAGAACCUGUUCGUUGCUGUUAAAAUAUUCCUUUUUAAUGUUGGUCCUGUGGAAAUUUAUAUGGCUUUUCUCCCGUACGCGUCUUGAUCAGAUAUCGAUCCCAAAGUCUAGCCAAUGUAGUUGACUGUUGAAGGCUAUUGGCGGCAGAACCUGUUCGUUGCUCUUGAAAUAUUCCUUAUUAAUAUUAGGCAUGUUAAAAUAUGGUAUUUUCCUGUAAUUGGCUCCUCCCUCCCGUAUGGAUCUUCAGCCAAUGUAGUAGACUAUUAAAGGCCAUUGGCGACAGAACCUGUUCGUUGCUCUCAAAAUAUUCCUUUUUAAUGUUGGUCCUGUGGAAAUUUAUAUGGCUUUUCUCCCGUACGCGUCUUGAUCUGAUCAGUGUCCACUCAAUGCCCUCGCGGCAUGGUAGUGGACUAUUAAAGGCUAUUGGCAGCAGAACCUGUUCGUUGCUCUUGAAAUAUUCCUUAUUAAUAUUAGGCAUGUUAAACUAUGGUAUUUUUCUGUAAUUGGCUCCUCUCCCGUAUGGAUCUUCAGCCAAUGUAGUAGACUAUUAAAGGCCAUUGGCAGCAGAACCUGUUCGUUGCUGUUAAAAUAUUCCUUUUUAAUGUUGGUCCUGUGGAAAUUUAUAUGGCUUUUCUCCCGUACGCGUCUUGAUCAGAUAUCGAUCCCAAAGUCUAGCCAAUGUAGUUGACUGUUGAAGGCUAUUGGCGGCAGAACCUGUUCGUUGCUCUUGAAAUAUUCCUUAUUAAUAUUAGGCAUGUUAAACUAUGGUAUUUUUCUGUAAUUGGCUCCUCUCCCGUAUGGAUCUUCAGCCAAUGUAGUAGACUAUUAAAGGCCAUUGGCAGCAGAACCUGUUCGUUGCUGUUAAAAUAUUGCUUUUUAAUGUUGGUCCUGUGGAAAUUUAUAUGGCUUUUCUCCCGUACGCGUCUUGAUCAGAUGUCGAUCCCUGAGUCUAUCCAAUGUAGUUGACUGUUGAAGGCUAUUGGCGGCAGAACCUGUUCGUUGCUCUCAAAAUAUUCCUUUUUAAUGUUGGUCCUGUGGAAAUUUAUAUGGCUUUUCUCCCGUACGCGUCUUAAUCUCAGUGUCCACUCAAUGCCCUCGCGGCAUGGUAGUGGACUAUUAAAGGCUAUUGGCAGCAGAACCUGUUCGUUGCUCUUGAAAUAUUCCUUAUUAAUAUUAGGCAUGUUGAAAUAUGGUAUUUUCCUGUAAUUGGCUCCUCCCUCCCGUAUGGAUCUUCAGCCAAUGUAGUAGUCUGUUGAAGGCUGUUGGCGACAGAACCUGUUCGUUGCUGUUAAAAUAUUCCUUUUUAAUGUUGGUCCUGUGGAAAUUUAUAUGGCUUUUCUCCCGUACGCGUCUUGAUCUGAUCAGUGUCCACUCAAUGCCCUCGCGGCAUGGUAGUGGACUAUUAAAGGCUAUUGGCAGCAGAACCUGUUCGUUGCUCUUGAAAUAUUCCUUAUUAAUAUUAGGCAUGUUGAAAUAUGGUAUUUUCCUGUAAUUGGCUCCUCCCUCCCGUAUGGAUCUUCAGCCAAUGUAGUAGUCUGUUGAAGGCUGUUGGCGACAGAACCUGUUCGUUGCUGUUAAAAUAUUCCUUUUUAAUGUUGGUCCUGUGGAAAUUUAUAUGGCUUUUCUCCCGUACGCGUCUUGAUCUGAUCAGUGUCCACUCAAUGCCCUCGCGGCAUGGUAGUGGACUAUUAAAGGCUAUUGGCAGCAGAACCUGUUCGUUGCUCUUGAAAUAUUCCUUAUUAAUGUUAGUCCUGUUGAAACAAAUAAUGUAUUUUCCUGUAAUUGGCUCCUCUCCCGUAUGGAUCUUCAGCCAAUGUAGUAGUCUGUUGAAGGCUAUUGGCGGCAGAACCUGUUCGUUGCUCUCAAAAUAUUCCUUUUUAAUCUUGGUCCUGUUGAAAUUUAUAUGGCUUUUCUCCCGUACGCGUCUUGAUCAAAUGUCGAUUCCAGAGUCUAGCCAAUGUAGUUGAAUGUUGAAGGCUAUUGGCGGCAGAACCUGCUCGUUGCUCUUGAAAUAUUCCUUAUUAAUGUUGUUCCUGUGGAAAUUUAUAUGGCUUUUCUCCCGCACGCGUCUUGAUCUGAUCAGUGUCCUCUUAAUGCCCUCGCGGCAUGGUAAGGGACUAUUAAAGGCCAUUGGCAGCAGAACCUGUUUGUUGCUCUUCUACGUAUAAAUCGAACACGAAACACAUUGCAAAGUUCAACACUUAUAUCUUUUCAAUAGAUAGAUUCAAAUAAGGAAUAUUUUUAUUAAAGAAAUUUGUAAUAUAAGCUGAGCUUACUUAAGGUCAUUCGCGAUAUUCUUUCAUCAACUGUCGGCCAUGCGGCUCCCGAUAUAUAAAUAUUUGGAUGGUGGCUCCCGAUGGAAUAUCAUUGUCUAUCUGGGACUACUCCUGCUGUUUUGGCGAAAGACUUACUUUUUGUCUUCGGCGGAUCCUAAAGUAUUCCUCCAACCUGGCUUAGUUGCACUACCGAUUAUUUUCCUUCCAUUUAUGUAAUAUUUCACAAAAAUAUGAAAAACAUACUGCAAAGCUCCA